rnacentral:siRNA from 1 species
UGUUGUCGCUUAAACCGCUUGA